AAAAAAAAAAAACACACACAUUGUGAUGUUUUUGCUAUCUUUUCGUCUUUUGCAAAUGAUGAAUAAAAAAAAUAAUUUAACUUUCGUUCUUCUGUAUGUUGAAGAU
rnacentral:sRNA from 1 species